rnacentral:rRNA from 1 species
AUAUUGGACAAUGGGCGGAAGCCUGAUCCAGCAACGCCGCGUGAGGGAUGACGGCCUUCGGGUUGUAAACCUCUUUCAGUACCGACGAAGCGAGAGUGACGGUAGGUACAGAAGAAGGACCGGCCAACUACGUGCCAGCAGCCGCGGUAAUACGUAGGGUCCGAGCGUUGUCCGGAAUUAUUGGGCGUAAAGGGCUCGUAGGCGGUUUGUCGCGUCGGGAGUGAAAACCUACAGCUUAACUGUGGGCUUGCUUCCGAUACGGGCAGACUAGAGGUAUGCAGGGGAGAAUGGAAUUCCUGGUGUAGCGGUGAAAUGCGCAGAUAUCAGGAGGAACACCGGUGGCGAAGGCGGUUCUCUGGGCAUUACCUGACGCUGAGGAGCGAAAGUGUGGGGAGCGAACAGG